UUGACCUCGGAUCAGGUAGGGAUACCCGCUGAACUUAAGCAUAUCAAUAAGCGGAGGAAAAGAAACCAACAGGGAUUGCCUCAGUAACGGCGAGUGAAGCGGCAACAGCUCAAAUUUGAAAUCUGGCUCCUUCGGGGUCCGAAUUGUAAUUUGUAGAGAGUGCUUCGGGCGAGACCUCGGUCUAAGUCCAUUGGAACAUGGUGUCAUAGAGGGUGAGAAUCCCGUAUGCGACCGUGGCUCGAGCCCAUGUGAAGCCUCUUCGACGAGUCGAGUUGUUUGGGAAUGCAGCUCAAAAUGGGUGGUAAAUUUCAUCUAAAGCUAAAUACUGGCUGGAGACCGAUAGCGCACAAGUAGAGUGAUCGAAAGAUGAAAAGCACUUUGGAAAGAGAGUCAAACAGUACGUGAAAUUGUUGAAAGGGAAGCGCUUGCAACCAGACCUGCCCGUAGGCGAUCCGCCGCUGUUCUCAGCGGUGUACUCGCUCUGCGAUCAGGCCAGCAUCGGUUUCGGCGGUCGGAUAAAGGCCUUGGGAAUGUAGCUUCCCCUCGGGGGAGUCUUAUAGCCCUCGGUGUAAUGCGGCCAGCUGGGACCGAGGACCGCGCUUCGGCUAGGAUGCUGGCGUAAUGGUUGUAAGCGACCCGUCUUGAAACACGGACCAAGGAGUCUAACAUCUAUGCGAGUGUUUGGGUGUCAAACCCAUACGCGAAAUGAAAGUGAACGGAGGUGAGAACCCUUAAGGGCGCAUCAUCGACCGAUCCAGAUGUCUUCGGAUGGAUUUGAGUAUGAGCAUAGCUGUUGGGACCCGAAAGAUGGUGAACUAUGCCUGAAUAGGGUGAAGCCAGAGGAAACUCUGGUGGAGGCUCGCAGCGGUUCUGACGUGCAAAUCGAUCGUCAAAUUUGG
rnacentral:rRNA from 1 species